rnacentral:rRNA from 1 species
UACAGAGGGUGCAAGCGUUGUUCGGAAUUAUUGGGCGUAAAGGGCGCGUAGGCGGUGCGGUAAGUCUGUAGUGAAAUCUCUGGGCUCAACUCAGAGUCUGCUGCAGAAACUGCCGUGCUUGAGUGUGGGAGAGGUGAGUGGAAUUCCCGGUGUAGCGGUGAAAUGCGCAGAUAUCGGGAGGAACACCAAUUGCGAAGGCAGCUCGCUGGGACGAUACUGACGCUGAGGCGCGAAAGCGUGGGGAGCAAACAGG